rnacentral:rRNA from 1 species
CCUACGGGAGGCAGCAGUGAGGAAUAUUGGUCAAUGGGCGCGAGCCUGAACCAGCCAAGUCGCGUGAGGGAAGACGGCCCUACGGGUUGUAAACCUCUUUUGCCGGGGCGCAAUGCCGGGCACGCGUGCCCGGAGGGAGAGUACCCGCAGAAUAAGCAUCGGCUCACUCCGUGCCAGCAGCCGCGGUAAUACGGAGGAGUCGAGCGUUAUCCAGAUUUAUGGGGUUUAACGGGUGAGUAGGCGGAGUUUUAAGUCAGCGGUAAAAUGUCCGGGCUCAACCCGGGCCGGCCGUUGAAACUGGGGAUCUUGAGUGGGCGAGAAGUAUGCGGAAUGCGUGGUGUAGCGGUGAAAUGCAUAGAUAUCACGCAGAACUCCGAUUGCGAAGGCAGCAUACCGGCGCCCGACUGACGCUGAGGCACGAAAGCGUGGGGAUCGAACAGGAUUAGAUACCCGGGUAGUC